GUCAUGGUGGCUGAGAGGUUAAGGCAUUGGAUUUGAAAUCCAAUGUGGUUUCCCAGCACAGGUUCAAAUCCUGUCUUUGAUG